AAUCCUUUACUGGAAAAAGACGCUACCAGCAGACGGCCACUCCGCUCCACUCCACUCACGGAGACUUCUUCGCUCGGGUGGUGACGCCACCGGCACGCGUCGCCGGUAAUCACAAGUUCACCGAUUUUAACGGCAGUUUCCGGUAUCACUGUGAGUCAGGCGAAGACGCGAGUCAACCCGGUUCCUGGCGGCAGCAACAGGGCGCCCAAACCAGUCAGCCAGGCAGCCGCCAGUCAACCAGCGAGCGAGAUGUCCGCGUCGGCUCGAGCCCGGAGCCUUGAAGGGAAGAAGAAGCGCGACGGGAGAACCACGACGCCGAGCCUCUUGGGCGAGAGAGGAUGCGAAUGGUGACGAGGUGGCAGAGUCUACGACUACAAGACGAAGGGAGAGGAUGUAGCGUCGCCGCCGCGCAAUUUCCAACUAACGUCCGUAGAGUAGAAGAUAGAUAGCCGAGGAGGAGCUAGCUUCAGUAAUAUUUACAUGUAAAGUUGUUCGAGCUGGGGCGCGCGGCGGGGGAACAGUGGAACCGAAGCCGCCGGGGAGAGUUGAGGAAAUCAAGAUGCUACGAAGAAGCCUCAACCGACUGUUUAAAGGCGACGAAAGAAGAGUCGACAGUCGGACUAUCUUCGUCGGUCAUCCGCCAUGUUCUGCCAGCGAGCCUUUCAUCCCGCCAAAGUUUUGUGACAACAGAAUUGUGUCGUCUAAGUAUACCGUGUGGAACUUUUUACCAAAGAACUUGUUUGAACAGUUCAGAAGAAUUGCCAAUUUCUACUUCCUUAUCAUCUUCCUGGUGCAGGUGAUAGUGGACACCCCCACCAGCCCAGUCACCAGUGGCCUACCCUUAUUUUUUGUGAUUACAGUGACGGCGAUCAAGCAGGGCUAUGAGGACUGGCUACGACACAAGGCUGACAAUGAGGUGAACAAGUACCCCGUGACAGUGCUUGAAAACGGUCUGAGGCUACGGAAGGAGAGUGAGAAGAUCAAGGUGGGAGACAUUUUGGAGGUGGAGGAAGAUGAGACCUUUCCCUGUGAUUUAAUCUUGCUCAGAUCCAGCCGGGAUGAUGACACCUGUUUUGUUACCACUGCUAGUCUGGAUGGAGAGUCCAACCAUAAAACACACUACACUGUUGCAGACAUAGAGAAGGAUCUGGAAUCCCUCAGUGCCACUUUGGAGUGUGAACAGCCUCAGCCUGACCUUUAUAAGUUCGUCGGCCGUAUGCACAUCUACAAAAGCAAUCAGGAGCCUGUAGUAAGGUCUUUGGGCCCGGAGAACUUGCUGCUUAAAGGAGCAACCUUAAAAAAUACUGAGAAAAUCUGCGGUGUCGCUAUUUACACUGGCAUGGAGACCAAAAUGGCUCUCAAUUAUCAGGGCAAAUCUCAGAAACGCUCUGCUGUGGAGAAGUCCAUCAAUGCCUUCCUUUUGGUGUACCUUUGCAUUUUGUUGAGCAAGGCCCUGGUGUGCACCACGCUCAAGUAUGUGUGGCAAAGCAAGCCCGGACAAGAUGAGCCUUGGUACAAUACGAAAACCCAGAAAGAGAGGGACACCAAUCAGUAUCUAAAGAUGUUCACCGACUUCCUGUCAUUCAUGGUGCUCUUCAACUUCAUCAUUCCCGUGUCCAUGUACGUGACCGUUGAGAUGCAAAAGUUUUUGGGGUCCUUUUUCAUCACCUGGGACAAGGAUUUCUUUGACCCAGAAAUCCAGGAAGGGGCGCUGGUCAACACCUCCGACCUCAAUGAGGAACUGGGACAGGUGGAGUAUGUCUUCACGGACAAGACGGGCACCCUCACUCAGAAUAACAUGGAGUUCAUUGAGUGCUGCAUCGAUGGAUACCAGUACAAGCAUCAAGACUUUGUCGCAGAAGUAGACGGAUUAAACUCGGAAGUAGAGGCAGACUUAUUUUGUGUCACAGAUGGGCCCAUGACCAAACUGAAGGAAAAAGCUGACAGGGACCGCGAGGAGCUGUUUCUGCGCGCCCUUUGUCUGUGCCACACGGUUCAGGUGAAGGAGUCCCCUGAGCAGAGUCCAGUCCAAGGUGGCGGGUUGGGCGACCAGGUAGAUGCCGUUGUACUCAGCGACCCUAAGGAUGAGAGGGGCUUCAUAGCGUCCUCACCUGAUGAGGUCGCUCUGGUCAAGGGUGCCAUGAGGUAUGGCUUCAAAUUUCUGGGUCUGGAAAGUAAAGCCAUGAAAAUCCUCAACAGGAGCCAUGAAAUCGAAGUCUAUGAGUUGCUUCAUGUGUUGAAUUUUGACCCUGUGAGAAGACGAAUGAGUGUAAUUGUCAAAUGCAAGUCAGGUGAUAUUGUGCUCUUCUGCAAGGGAGCAGACUCCUCCAUUUUCCCUCGCGUCAGACAGGAGGAAGUGGAACCGACACGUGUGCACGUGGAGCGGAACGCAAAGGAGGGCUACAGAACACUAUGUGUGGCUUACAAACUACUCGACCUGGAGGAGUACGCCCAGGUGGACGCAGGCCUGAGGGAAGCCAGGCUGGCUCUGCAGGGCAGGGAGGAAAAGCUCGUGGCCAUUUAUAACGAAGUGGAGACCGGCAUGAGUCUCAUCGGCGCGACUGCUGUUGAAGAUAGACUUCAAGAGGAGGCCGCAGAAACAAUGGAGGCUCUGCAGGGGGCCGGCAUUAAGAUCUGGGUCCUGACGGGAGACAAAAUGGAGACGGCAAAGUCUACCUGUUUUGCCUGUCGCUUGUUUCAGAUGACCACCGAGCUGUUGGAGCUAACGGUGCGCACUCUGGAUGAAGGAGGUCAAAAGCGCGAGGAACGACUGCACGAGCUCUUACUCGAGUAUCACAAGAAAGCGGUGCAGGAUUCGCCGGCCUUAGAAAAUGGCAUCAGCGGGAACUGGUCGGUUACCAGCCACGACUAUGGUUUCAUUAUUGAUGGAGCCACUCUAUCAAUGGUGCUCAACUCCGCCGAUUCCAACUCCAGCCACUACAGGAACCUCUUCCUGCAGAUUUGUCAAAACUGCACCGCUGUGCUCUGCUGCCGCAUGGCUCCAUUGCAAAAGGCCCAGAUUGUAAAACUGGUGAAGAACUCUAAAGGCAACCCGAUAACCCUCUCCAUUGGUGAUGGUGCCAAUGACGUCAGCAUGAUUUUGGAAGCUCAUGUUGGCAUCGGCAUCAAGGGUAAAGAGGGUCGGCAGGCGGUGAGGAACAGUGAUUACGCCAUCCCCAAACUCAAGCACCUGAAGAAACUCCUGCUGGCCCAUGGACAUCUCUACUAUGUUCGCAUUGCACACUUGGUUCAGUAUUUCUUCUACAAGAACCUGUGCUUCAUCUUACCUCAGUUUUUGUACCAGUUCUUCUGCGGCCAUUCUCAGCAGCCCCUCUAUGACGCAGCCUAUCUGACGAUGUACAACAUCUGCUUCACCUCUAUGCCCAUCCUGGCUUACAGCCUCUUGGAGCAGCACAUCAGCAUCCAGGCUUUGCUGAACAAUGCUCCCCUCUACAGAGAGAUUCGCAAGAAUGCCAUGUUGCGAUGGAGGCCCUUCAUGUACUGGACGUUACUCGGGGUCUUCCACGGUUUGGUCUUCUUCAUCGGUGUGCGAUGUUUGUUCAGGAACGCCGCCCUGCCGGAAAACGGCCAGGUUUAUGGGAACUGGUCAUAUGGCACAAUCGUCUUCACCGUCCUCGUCUUCACGGUCACAUUGAAGCUUGCCCUGGACACACGACACUGGACAUGGGUCAACCACUUAGUAAUAUGGGGCUCCCUUGCAUUUUACAUGCUUUUCAGCUUCUUCUGGGGAGGAAUUAUUUGGCCAUUCCUGAGGCAGCAGCGUAUGUAUUUUGUGUUUGCCACCAUGCUGAGUUCAGUGUCAGCCUGGUUGGUCAUCAUCUUGCUCGUCGUGCUCAGCCUCCUGCCAGAGAUCCUUCUGGCCGCCUUCCGCAAGCCCUUCAACCCAUUUACUCAGCAGGUACCGGUCCAUCCCUGGGCCUAUGAAGCCAAUCUAAAGCUGCCUACCAACCCAAGCCCCCUUCAGCUGAUGUCUCCACAAUCCUGGCUUCUAACUUAGUCUUACUAGGCAUCGAUUCCAAACACGACGUGCUGCCCGACGAAGACCAGCUGUGCACAUCCAGGCUGCAGCCGUGGCUCUCAUAUCUUACAAACAACUGAUGGCUCACCAGUGAAGGGACACGGCAGUGGCGGCCAUAUUUCAGGGUUCUGUGCCAGUCAGGUCAGACGCAUGAUCACCACGGGAGGAACGGCGGCACCUCUGACUCUACUUUAAGGAGGGAAAAAAACUCAACUGUCCGUCCUCUCGAUUAGUUUUGACAGUCUAACACACACAAACACGCCACCCAUGCAUGAUUGCGGAGCAGCUCACCUUUUUCUUUAUUCUUUUUUUUUUUUUUAUGUACUCAGAUGAGAGACUUGACUAUUGUCUUUUAUCUACAAAUGAAUGCAUACACAAUUGCCUUGUCCCAAACACUGACUGCUGUGUUUUAACAAGCAGUUACAUUACCACUCACUCUUAUGCUCGACUGCAUGAGGGGAAAAGUCUUUAUAAUGCAAUGUUUUAAAAAAAAAAACGACGAGAAGGACAAGGUGUGUUAAAUGGUUAUUUGUUUCCCCCCCAACAUAGGUAUCUGGGCCAUCACUUUUUUUUUUUCUUUCAAUCAGUGGUCUGAAAACCUGUCAUUCAAGUUUGUUAGUUUGCUGAAACCCGUCCACGCGCUCUAAAAAAAAAAGCCAAAAACGUGUGUGUCUCUGUGUGGGGGGAUUAAGGAAUGGAUUAGCGAUUUAGGGGCAGUGUGGCAAAGCUCAUAGCGUGACCUCAAUCUUCACGCCUUAAAAGUGUUUUUGUUUAAUUUAAAGAUUCCAAUUAAGAUGAGAGAUUUAAUAUAUGUGCUAUACUGUAUGAAGCUCAUAUGCUGAAAGCCAAAAAAAGACUCGGACAUUUGUGACUUGAAAGUGUUGUUUUUUGUUGUGCAUGCCCACAAAAUUCCUGAAUGGCUCAAGAGAAGCCACAAAUACCUGUGGGAAACUUGCAUUAAUUUGCCUUUUACAGUGGUGCCUUGACUUACAAAUUUAAUUAGUUGCGUGACCAUGCUUACAACUCUAAUCUCUUAUCUUCAGGUAUUGUUUGCAGUUGAAAUGAAUGGAAAUGCCAUUAAUUGCAGCAGCAACCCCCCAAAAAAAAUAUUUUUCACAAUAAACACAUCCAGUAGUGUCACAAGUAAAUUAAAACUAAACAAAUUGAGCAGUUUUUUCUACAUUUCAGUUUUAUUAGAUCUACCACAGUGACAUUGGUAUUUGUUAGCCCAUUCAUAGCAUUAGCAGGAAUAUGAUAGCAAUAAGGUAACACACGCUAAGGCAACAUGAGGUUUUAAAUACAGGUUUUGAAGAAUUGUUCGCUAUCUGCCAAACUGCUGCUUGCUGUGAAGUGAUUUGACUUCACUAUACAACCAACACUUGGAUUUUUCUGGUUUUAUUUUUGCUCACAAGUCAAAGCAACAACAACAAAAGUCCAAUGUUGGCUCUUAAUUCCAAAAGCAAGUCAGGUCACGCAUAUCUGAAGGCAUCACUGUAUUUGGAAAGAAAUAGGGCCAAAUCAGCCGUGGACACGUUGCUUUUUAAAUGAAGCUAGAAUUAGCCAAAUGGUUUGUUUGACAAGCAACUUGAAAUGAAAUCCUACGAAAAUUCUUUGACCACUACUGCGCUGUUGACGAGACAUCAAUGGUUCAUCAAGGCACGUGAACCUCACUAUGUACACGGUAGCCCACUGUGAGGAGGUGAUAUUAUAAAAUAAAUAUACUGUAUGAUGAUGCAUUCCCUUCAACCAUCCAAUUACUUUUACAGCCAUUAUAUUAAGGGUGAGGUUUUCCACAUGAGUAUAUUUUUCCGUAUUUAUUAAGGUAUCAUUUGACUCGCAAAUGUUCUAUUUUUAGGUCUUACUAUGGAAAGUUAGCCUGUCUUGAUAUUCUUACAAAAAAAAAUGCUUUCAGGCUUUAUGAGUUACCUCCUGACUGCACUGUGCUGGCAAAAGAAGUCAAGCCUGCUUUGUUAUGAAACUUUACAACCUUUAAGUGGCAUCAGUGAUGCCUUUUCUUUUUUUUUUCCCCCCCGACGGCUUUCAACCUUUGUGGAGUUUGUUUCCCAUGUCUAAACAGAAAUCUCAACAGCGGAUUGUAUUUUUAACCCUUUUCUCUUUUCCCGAGCUACUUUUCUGUAAGAAAAUCAAAAUGUACCAAAAACCAAGAGGUUAUGGACACCGUACCAUCUUGUGCCCUUUUUUGGCUCGCCAGCCUCAAAACACUCCUCGACCUCUAAGAUGAAUGUAUUGAAAUUCUAUUUAAAUUCUGAAAGUUUCUCUUUAAUAAAGACCAUUUUUGAAGAUAAAAA